CAGAGGGUAGUUUAAGAAAUACAAAACUUUAGUUUUGGGGACUAAGAAAUCCUGUGUGUUGGAUUCUCUGA
rnacentral:tRNA from 1 species